AAGUGCUGGGAUUACAGGUGUGAGCCACUGUGCCCGGCCUCAAAAACAUUUUUUUAAGUUGGCUUGCUUAAGUCAGAAUCCCAACAAAGUCCACACACUACCUCUGUGUUAAGUCUGUUAAAUCUCCUCUUACCUGUGGUGGGUUCUCGUCCUUCCCCCUGUGCUGCUGAUCUAUUGCUGAAACUGUGUCAUUUGCUCUGUAGUAUAUUCCUCUGUCUCCCACAUUUCUCUAAAUGGAAGUUAAAUCUAGAUGCUUGAUUUCAGUCGAGGUUAGCUUUGAGGUGGGGACUGGGGGCAGGAACAGUUCAUAGGUGGCACAGUGCUUCCUAUCACAUCAUGUCUAGCUGUCCUACUUUGGGUGGGUUCAGGUGAUGACAGCCUCAUUCCUCUAUUGUAAGGGUUCUCAUCAAUCUUUAAUCUAAAGGUUUUAUUUAUUGAUCACUGUCUGAAUCAAAAUUUCAUUAGGGGUUGCAAAGCGAUAAUCUUUUUCUAAUCCUAUUAACAUCUUCUGUAUUUAUUAGCCUAAAUGAUUUUGUAAAGGAGAAUUCUCUUUUAUCAAUUAGUGCUGCUUUGUUACUCUGAAAUACAGCUUUUACAAGAAGGGCAGAAUGAAUGAAUGCUAAUUCUUUCCUUUCAAUUUCAAAACAGGGAAUUUGUUCACUAAAUACUUCGAAUGGUGGCCCAAUGAGAAUUUGUGUGUGGGGAAGGUGGGGGAUGGGAUCAAUAUGAACCUAUAAAUUUUGAUAUAUUCAAUGCAUUUUUUGUUUGUGUUUUGAGAUUGAGUCUCACUCUGUGGGCCAGGCUGGAGUGCAGUGGCACAAUCUCGGCUCAUUGAAACCUCCACCUCCUGGGUUCAAGCAAUUCUCGUGCCUCGGCCUCCUGAGUUGCUGAGAUUACAGGCACCUGCCCCUACGCCCGGCUAAUGUUUAUAUUUUUAGUAGAGAUAGGGUUUUGCCACAUUGGCCAGGCUGGUCUUGAACUCCUGAUCUCAAGUGAUCUGCACACCUUGGCCUUCCAAAAGUGCUGGGAUUACAGGCGUAAGCCACCACGCCCAGCCUAUUCAACGCAUUUCAAUCAGUUGCAUUAUUAUUCUUUUGGAUGCUCAAAUGUUCUCAUCUUUGGCCACAGGAAGUCUUUCCUGUGGACUCCUGUGUCCUUUUGAUAGGAUCCAUUGGUUUUGGUCGCUUCUUUACUUUCCGGCACAAAAUAUGACUCACCAUGAAUAGUUCUUAUCCCCGAUCUGGAAUCAGCUAUUCCUCCAAGGAGCCUUCACUGGAGAAAAUAUUGUUGAUUUAUAUUCUAUUCUAGUCCUUUUUCUUUCUUUUUUGAGACAGGGUCUCACUCUGUCACCCCGACUGGAAUGCAGUGGCGCGAUCUCGGCUCACUGCAACCUCCACCUCCCAGGCUCAGGCGAUUUCUCCUGCCUCAGCCUCCCAAAUAGCUGGGAUUACAGGCGCAUGCCACUCCUGCAUGGCUAAUUUUUGUAGUUUUAGCAGAGACAGGGUUUCGCCAUGUUGGCCAGGAUGGUCUUGAACUCCUAACCUAAAAUGAGCUCCUGACCUCCUGCCAUGGCCUCCUAAAUUGCUGAGAUUACAGGCAUGAGCCACCACACCUGGCCUAUUCUAGUCCUUUUCCUUCUAUCUCCAUGCUGCUUUCUCAAAGGGAUGAAGAGGAGAAAUAGUGAGAGAAGGGAAAAAAUGAGAAGGAGGCUAGUAGUUAUUAGAAUUGGUAAUAGAUUGACAUUCUUCAGACCCUGUUUACUAGUGGGUGAAAUCUCUCUGCCCGAGGUUCCUGCUUAUGUCCCACUCUGGCUUUAUCUGUGGGAUCUCUUGCCUUUUUGCCCCUUUUCUGUCUUUGUUCUUAGCCACGUUUUCUCCACAUGGCAAGCAACACACCUGGGGCAGGGACCGUCGCCACCAUUCCUAGAGGGUGGGGCAUCCUCCUUGCUAUCUCCAUUCCACUUGCAACUAGGUACAGAGGUGCAGUCCUGCAGACUCUGUGCCUACGGCUAGUUGGGAAAGUGCAUCAGCUUCUGCUCUGCAGGCCUAGCCAUAUCCUUGAGGUGCACCCACAUGUGAGGGUGCUAAAUCUUAAGCUUUCAAUGGGAGCUAGGAAACUCACUUUGGUCUUAGAUCUGAGGCAUGUUUUCCAACAUAGUAAACCAGAAUCCUUGCAUUUGAGGAAACAUUUGGUGUGGGCCUGGAAUAAUAGUGAAGUUCUUCAUGACUCUAUUGGCCUGUGAUUCUUGGGUGUCUGCACCACAGGCCAGAACCCAGGAGGGGCACAAGGAAGAGUGGCACCUAAAACUAACAACACCACCCAAUGGUAGUACACCAACCAAAGCAUUAGAGAUGAGUGCCAACCACAGUGGGUUAGCAGAGUAGCUCAUUAACUUCAAGGUCACAGUUAUUGGCAAAGAGCCUUGGUUUUUCUGAGCCUCAGAGUUGAAGAGUUGAUGGAAAACUCUUCAGGAUGAGAGGCUAAUAAAUAGUUUAAAUCUAAAAGUAAUCUAUUUCUCCAGAGAUAUCUCCCAAGGUUAAAGGAUACUGAAUUUCAAUAGCCAGCUAUAUGGUUCUCCUGGAAGUAGCCUAGUAAUGGCAAAUUAACAAAAAUAAAAUUAUUUUAAAACUACAUAAAAGAUAAGAGUCUAGAAAUCAAUAAUUAACAAAAAUGGGGAGCACAGGGGGCUGUUCUCAAACCAGUAGCAAUGAAUUGUGCCAUAUACCCCUGUUUACCUGGAUAUUGGUAGUGGUUACCUUGGAUUUACUUCCUGUGCAAAAAUAAUUCUAAGGAUUCUGAGGUUUAAGUUCAUACUUCCCCCUACCCCUGGAAAUGAAUCUUUUAUCCAGUUACUUUCUUACAUAUGAUUGCUUUUGAUCUUACAACACCUCUGGGCAGCAAAAUCAUUGCCUUUCCAAGAAUGAGGAUACUGAACCUUGAAAAAGUUGAUGGACUGACUUGUCCAGUUAGAAUGCAGAAGCACCAGGAUUCAAGACUAGAAUAUCUGACCUCGUUUGCUGUGUUCUUUCCACCAAAUCAUGAUUUUUUUUUUUUUCGACAUGUAAUCUCCUAGCUGGUCAGGCAGCCUUUAUUCAUUUCCAACUGCCCAACCAACUAAAGAUGAAUAAUUAAUCAUGCCCACUGGGUUUCUUCUCAUCAGAGCCCUUUGUGGCUUUCCAAGAACAUCUGCAUAAAGUCCUGCUCCAUGCUCCUAUGGCUCACCAACCUGUCAGUUGGCUUUGCAUUCUACCCUAGCCUGUGUAAAGCAAAAUUUUUCUUGUAGGGUCUGUCUUUUGUGCUGACUAGAGGAUGCCCCCGGAGAACCUGGACCAUGAACACAGUUGCAAGGUUUUUCUGUUCUAAAAGAGCCAGUGAGCUUCUCGGAACAUAACACUCAGGGCUAGGAUACAGUUCUACAAAGCUCAGUUCAAUUUUAACUAUUUGUCAGCAUGUGCUACAAUUGCUUCUAACCCUCCUGAGAACAGAAGCUUUCACAGGAGGCAGGGUGGGUUCACCAUGAUUCACAUUCAACCUUGUUUUAUAUUUCUAAGCAAGUCUACCGACAUGUUUGAAGAACAUCCUCAAGGCCAAGAUCAGAAACCCGAUGCUUAUGUUUUCAGUUUUGACACAUGUGAAAGGCUUUAACUGCAGAGCCAACUCUCCCCACUUGGAUUUUAAGGGCAAUUGCAUCUGCUGUCUUGAGCAAGUCAUGGCAAUUGACAGCCAUCCCAGAAGCAGUCCUCAAGCUCUGACAGCUCCCUAUGGCUCACUCCCUUGUCCCAAUGGCCUUGAGAACCAAACUGACACCUACUUCUCAGAAACAGUUUUCCCAUAAAUCACCAGGCAUUUUGGUUUACUCAUGACAGAUACCACUGGGGUAGCCCCAUUCCUUUAACUCUGACAAUUUAAGUAAUGCCAGUUUUGAGGACAAUCCUAUACUACCUAUGGUGCUGGAAGAAAACGAAAUAGAAUACAGUCUUCUAAACUGGAAGCCUACAGCCCAAGAAGAAGCAAUCUCAGUUUAUACUACUAGAAACUCAGGGGUUUUGAGAGGAAUUGGGUCAGAAGGCAGCUGCUGCCUUCCUGUCUGGGGAGUCUUCUUGGCUGAGGAGAGAAAGGAAGAGCUGCUCCAAAUGCCACCUCCUGCUUCAUUCUGGCAACAGUGUGGCACCAAGAGCUGGAAAAAAUGAGGGCUCAACAAUGAGAGAAUCAGUAGCUGGGAUUUUGGCUGUAAGUAUAAGCAAGCCAGGGGCUACCCUGGCCCUUGGGGAGCUGAGUCCCAACCAAAAAAGUUACACAGUUUUUAAGAUCUGUGGCAGACUUAGGUGCUGCCUUUCUCAUUCAUCCCAGAGCACCUUCACACAUCUACUGGUUCACAUAGUAACAAAAACGAAAGAGCUAGAUCAUUCUCCAAAUUCUCCAAGAGAUCAAACCAAGCUGCAAGCAAGCAGCUAGUCCCCUAGUUAUUGCCAGCUCCAUUGCUGGUCUUUUGCACUUGCCCCAGCCACCACCAAGCUGGCUGGCUGUGGCGGAGUCCCUGUUGCGGGUGUCUUUGCUCAGGCCUGCCUGCUGCCUGCUCACAGCACCCCUCCUGACUCAGCCUCUGCUUUCUAGCUCCCAGCUUGGCUCUGGCCUGGCCCUUCUCCAGCUUUUACCCUUUUCCCAAUUCCCUCUGCAACAGAUUGACCUCCGUUCCUCUCAGGACCAUGUGGGCCUCCUUGACUCAGGAACAUCCUGCAGCUCUGGGUGGGUGGCACACCCUCCACCCACCCUCGGGGCCUGUGGGACUGAAGGCCAGGCACACUGUCAUUCAGAAAGGAUGACAAGUUGCAACUAACCAAACUCCCACUGCACUCAGGGCUAACUGUCUUGAUUUUAUUUCCCCACUGUAGAAAUUGCCGAUGCCUGAUAUUACGAAGAGGCUGGGACAAGGAAAGAGCUCUCUGUACCCCAUCUGAGAGAGAGGAAGAGACAUGCCCUGGGCUAGAGUGUUACCAAUUUAAUCUUUUUUUUUUUUUUUUUUUUUUUUUAAUGAGACAGAGUUUCACUCUUGUUGCCCAAACUGGAGUGCAGUGGUGUGAUCUCGGCUCACCACAAUGUCCGCCUCCUGGGUUCAAGUGAUUCUCCUGCCUCUGCUUCCUGAGUAGCUGGGAUUACGGGCCUGCACCACCAUGCCUGGCUAAUUUUGUAUUUUUAGUAGAGAUGGGGUUUCUCCAUGUUGGUCAGGCUGGUCUCCAACUCCUAACCUCAAAUGAUCCACCCGCCUUGGCCUCCCAAAAUGCUGGGAUUACAGGCGCAAGUCACCGCGCCCAGCCUUCAAUUUAAUCUUUACUAUAGCCUUGCCUGACAAGUCAUAUGGCAGAACAACAGUGGAGGAGGAGGACGAUAGGACUGUUCUCCAAGAAUCUGGACAUGAGGGAAAUGGAGUGACCUUCAGAAAGUACACCAUUUUGUCAGGCAUGACAACUGGCUUUUCAGCUUCAGGAAUGAAUAUGGACAACUUGAAGGAAGGCUUGCCAAGAUCCCAGUGGAGCCUCAGAUGCAGCAGAUGAUGAGAAGGUUACUGACUUCCUACCCACAUCUGAAGGCAGGGUGUUGCUCCGAGUUGUUUGGCUGUAGUGCGGCCGCGAGCUGC